GAUGAACGCUGGCGGCGUGCCUAAUACAUGCAAGUCGAGCGAACAGACGAGGAGCUUGCUCCUCUGACGUUAGCGGCGGACGUGUGAGUAACACGUGUAUAACCUACCUAUAAGACUGGGAUAACUUCGGGAAACCGGAGCUAAUACCGGAUAAUAUAUUGAACCGCAUGGUUCAAUAGUGAAAGACGGUUUUUGUGUCACUUAUAGAUGGAUCCCCGCGGCAUUAGCUAGUUGGUAAGGUAAAGGCUUACCAAGGCAAUGAUGCGUAGCCGACCGGAGAGAGUGAUCGGCCACACUGGAGCUGAGACACGGUCCAGACUCCUACGAGAGGCAGCAGUAGGGAAUCUGCCGCAAUGGGCGAAAGCCUGGCGGAGCAACGCCGCGUGAGUGAUGAAGGUGUUGGGAUCGUAAAACUCUGUUAUUAGGGAAGAACAAAUGUGUAAGUAACUAUGCACGUAUUGACGGUACCUAAUCAGAAAGCCACGGCUAACUACGUG
rnacentral:rRNA from 1 species